rnacentral:rRNA from 1 species
CAGCCGCCGCGGGAAUACAGAGGAUGUAAGCGUUAUCCGGAAUGAUUGGGCGUAAAGCGUCUGUAGGUGGCUUUCCAAGUCCGCCGUCAAAUCCCAGGGCUCAACCCUGGACAGGCGGUGGAAACUACCAAGCUGGAGUACGGUAGGGGCAGAGGGAAUUUCCAGUGGAGCGGUGAAAUGCGUUGAGAUCGAAAAGAACACCAACAGCGAAAGCACUCUGCUGGGAUGACACUGACACUGAGAGACGAAAGCUAGGGGAGAAAAUGGGAUUAGAUACCCCCGUAGUCCCUGUCUCUUAUAC